UACGGAGGGUGCAAGCGUUAUCCGGAUUCACUGGGUUUAAAGGGUGCGUAGGUGGGUCUGUAAGUCCGUGGUGAAAUCUCCGAGCUUAACUUGGAAACUGCCAUGGAUACUAUAGGUCUUGAAUACUGUGGAGGUCAGCGGAAUAUGUCAUGUAGCGGUGAAAUGCUUAGAUAUGACCCGGAACACCGGUUGCGAAGGCAGCCCGCUAAGCAACUAUUGACGCUGAGGCACGAAAGCGUGGGGAUCAAACAGG
rnacentral:rRNA from 1 species